rnacentral:rRNA from 1 species
UCGAGAAUUUUUCUCAAUGGGGGAAACCCUGAAGGAGCGACGCCGCGUGGGGGAUGAAUGGCUUCGGCCCGUAAACCCCUGUCAUUUGCGAUCAAACCUUACGACCUAACACGUCGUGAGCUGAUAGUAGCGGAAGAGGAAGGGACGGCUAACUCUGUGCCAGCAGCCGCGGUAAUACAGAGGUCCCAAGCGUUGUUCGGAUUCACUGGGCGUAAAGGGUGCGUAGGCGGUCGGGUAAGUCUGACGUGAAAUCUUCAAGCUCAACUUGGAAACUGCGUCGGAUACUAUUCGGCUAGAGGAAUGGAGGGGAGACUGGAAUACUUGGUGUAGCAGUGAAAUGCGUAGAUAUCAAGUGGAACACCAGUGGCGAAGGCGAGUCUCUGGACAUUUCCUGACGCUGAGGCACGAAAGCCAGGGGAGCAAACGGGAUUAGAUACCCCCGUAGUCC